rnacentral:tRNA from 1 species
CGCUGUACAGCUAUUAUAGCAUUAACCUUUUAAGUUAAAGAUCGAGAAACCCUUCUUCUCUACAGCGA